CUAGCCCCUUCUUCAGUGGAUCCUUUAUCACCCCAGCGAACCUAAGGAAAGCCAGAGUUCAGACGUAAAUGCACUGUAUGCAAAGGACAAGGAAACCGUUGCAAAUAACAGUAGCGGAAGAAGUUUGCAUUUGGACGAAUUUCUGAAUAAACGAGAGGGGAGGGACCUCCUGACUGGAGUUGCCAGGCAUGAAAAGAGAAGAAUCCAAGUAAGAAACACCAGAGAAGACUGACCUUCCACCCUGAGGGAAAGAAUUAAGAGCAUCACUGCACACUGCUUGGCAGCUGCCGGAAGAAUGGCAGAAGAGUACAGCACAGAGAAGCAAUAAAAACAGACAACUGCAUUACCACAUGAACUGAAAACCGGGAAGAAAUGUAAUGACUAAUCCAGCAAGUUUUUUGUUGGCCACAGCUCAGAAACCACAUUUAACUGCCGGGAAGGCUCAUGAUAUAAAAUAAAGUUGAAGUAGUAACAGACAACCUCCCUAGAUUUCUGGUGGGACACUCCUGUGGAGAAUGAGAGAGAAGAGAGUCUUUUUAUUAGAGAAGAGCUUAUAGUUCUUGCCUCAGAAGCCCCAGACCAUGAGGAUGCAGACAGGGGCUGAGGACUUCUUGCCCUAGGAUAGCCUGGGGCCUCACGGACUACACCAAAGCUUUUGAUUGCGUGGGCUUCGGCAUGGUCAGGAGAGAAGGCCAGUUCCUCUGCUGCCCCAGGUUCCACAAGCCCGAGACAAGACAAGGAAUACAGUGACAGCCUGGAAGCCAUCUCCACUUCCCAAGUCCUCAGCGCUGUUGCUGAACUAGAUGAAUAAUAAACUUCACCCAUUUAAAAACCCCAACAUGCAAGGAGAGAGAAGGAGAGUUAGUGAAACAGCACUGCUGACUGCUGCUAGAAGGAUAAAGAGCGCACUCAGAUGAAAAAAGAUGCAAUGUGUGCAAGGGAUUAUGAAGACAAUAUGGGAUUUCCAACUUGAGAGCCCAUAAUGGACUACAAAUACCAAUUUUAGUGAUACUACUUUUAAAAUGGUCCUUGAUUUCAGGAUGUCUGCAUACUAUUACGGCCAACAACUUUCAAAUAACGGAGAAAAGGCUUUUACCAAAGACUUCACAGAAAUAUAACACAUGUGCUCGCUCAGUAGAAAGCCAAUGAGCAGUACACCAGCAUGCUGAUGUUGGUUCAUGUGUGUGCAGGUCUCAGAAAGCCAGAAGCACUGCUAAGAGUGCAGUCCACAGCGUUGAAGCUGGUCUCUUUUUCCAUUUAUUGCGUACCACUAAUGAAAGAAAACUCCCUCAACAGAUGGCUUAUGUCACAUGUAGCUCUCCUGUUACUUAACCUAUUUCCUAGGGUAUCUGUGUUUCCCAACAUGCUACGAGUUAUAAUCGUGAGUCGCACACCCAGUGACUUUCUCUCGUAGUCUUUACUCACCACUUUGCAGCAGAGCGGCCAGAACCACCAGAGCAGACCGAGUGCCACUAACAGCAGCAGCACAAGAACAGCAAUAAGCGCCGCUACUCCACUAGACUGCAAAGAAAGCAGAAAGGCAGUGUCAGUGGAUGUUGCAAAUAACUGCUGCCUGGUUUUCCCACUCACCCCAAAACAGCUUCCUACUGACCGAUACAAAUCCCACGCAAAUCGUUCCCAUGGGUCAGAUCCUAUUCUUGCCAAUGGAGAAAUUCUUCACAAAGGAUCAAGAAGGGGGUCUUAGCCAAAUGCGUAUCUGGCACAAGUUCAGUGACACACUUCGUUAUAAGUCUCCUCAGUUCCACUAGUUACGUAGAAGGUAAGCUAGGAUGCUUCAAUAGGAGCUGCGUGUCACAAUAAAUGAUGUAUCAACACUAAAAAGAGGGAGGAGGUGGUAAGAUGCUAUUCGUGUUUCUCAUUCCCUACGAGUUCUGGCGCCUGCAAUUCUCAGGUAUUCGAAGGGACUGAACACAGCGUGCUGAACAGAGCAGUACUGGUGGACAUGUUACAUUGCAAAUGACAGAACUUUGAAAACUACUUUUUUCUGCCUACCUGUAAACUAAACUUCAAAUUAAGUCAUUCAGUCAUCGGUAACGGGCCCAAGGUGCCCCAAUGCAAGCCAGGAUUAUUUCUGCUGAGGUCAGUGGAUUCAUUUUGAUGUAAAACUGAUAUCCUUGACAUAAGGAACGAGGCCCAACUUGAAGAAAAGAAAGGGUACAUCGACUGCUAAGAAACGAGCUGUUACGACACAAACGGGAAAAGUCUCCUCCUAAGUCUGUGGAUAAGAGGUGCCCUCCUCCUCCCAUGAGGACACAGGUCUGUAUGGAUUGGUAGAUGCGUGGAAUUUUACGGAAUCUAUACUAACAAUACAUACAUAAGGCUUUUAUGCUUAUAACCCAUACAUCUGGGGCAUUCACACUGUACAGACUAUAGCACGCUAAAUCCCUGUAGUAGUGCUAUUUGAACCUGAAGGCACCAUCCCAAGAAGUUCUGAACAAGUGUUACUGCUUCCAGCAAUACUGCUUUUAAUGAAGAAAUGAGCAGCCCAUCUCCCACCACCUCAAACUCACAUCCUGUAGGUGCUUUUAUUCUUACACUUGGUGUUCUGUGCUGCUGUGCUGGUUUAGAACAACACUGAGAAAAAGGCAACAGUGACCUUAUGAAAAGGGAAGUUAUUCAGACUUCAGCUGGGGAAAAAGGAAAGGAGGGACACCCAGGGCAUCACUAAGGCUCGAGUAGAGCGUGAGUAAUUCUGUCAAAGUGAGAAAAGUUGCACUGGAGAUACACCAUUGCAAAUGGAAGGUGAAACAGAGCUUUAUUCCAAGUACGCGUAGGUGCAGCGAGGCAUAUGCAUUUACAAGAAACAGUGAAAACUUUUGACCGCAAAGAAGCACUGUGAGAGUACAGCAGAGAGAAGACAGCCAUACCCAGCAAUUUGGUAUGAUCUGCUUUGCAUCAGUGCUUUGUUUUUACCUAUCUGUGCAAUCUUAGCAAUUUUUAAGGGGGUAUGGAGACAGACUUAACAUGUGCUGCUUUCUCAGUCUACUGUUAGUCUCCAGCAUCAUCCUGUGACUGUACUGUCCUUACGUUAUCAUACUGUCCUUCAGCGUGCUUUGGUGUAAGAUUGAAAUGCUUCCGAAUGAUAAAGAGGCCCUUAAACAGAGAAACGUGAUUUCGGUAGCGUGUGUUUGUUCACCUCUCGAUUCAUUCAGGCUUUCUUCCUGAAACUGAAGGGCUGAACUGAGAUGACUCUGAUUUCUACAGUUACCCAAGUAUUUAGUUUUUAAAUUAAUAGAAGAAAAAUGUCAUUUUUUUCUCUAUUAGGUUAAUUACCUAUGAGCAAUAAAAAUAUUGUUGGAAAAAUACAUGCUGAUGAGCAGAAAGUGCUGUUCUGUAUGGUUGUAUGCCUGACAGGAAAGCUGCACUAAAGUCACACUUCAGAUGAGACGAUUUAAAGAAACAGAGUAUCCACGCGUAGCACAUUUUCAAAACCUCCAUCCCUACAUAGUGGUCUUGUGUUUAACUGCAAAAAUUUUGACUGUCCUACCUAUGUAAAACAGAAGACAGAAGAAAUUAACAGAGAGCAGAAAUGUGAGAUUAGAAAUUUUAUAUAUUAAGUUUGAAAAGCCACUGCCUGCGUAAGUCUGUGGUUUAUCCUGCAAGCUGUUUUAACUCUUUUCCAUAAGCCUAUGAUAGAAACACAGUUAACCCUAGGCUUAACCUAGGUACUCCAGCCUGUGCUUUGACAAAGACUCCUAAUUUACAGAGUUGAGAGCCUACGCUCCUUACUCAGGCACCGUUAGGUAUCUAAAGUUACACAGUGCUAGUAUGCUCCUGUAGGUUUCUAACCAUCUUCCAUAACCAGGCUGAAGUCCUAAGGUUCUGCCUCCUCAGCUUCAGCCUGCUCCCACUGAACCUACUCAGUACCUGGCUCUUAUGAGUUGAUUGUAUUUAUAGCGAGGAAGUCUCUGAUGGCAUGGAAGCUUCCCAGUAUUUUGAAAGCCACAGCUGCACACUGUGCUAAAGUAAAUUUUUGUAAUACAUAUAGCAAAAUACAAUUUGCAAGCUAUAGAAAAAUAGAAGCCCCGCACAGAGAAGGAACACACAGGCACUGCCUGGAUUUCAGGGCAGAGCUGGCUGAGGUAGCCUUGGAGAGGAGGAAAAUUCCAGGGCUUUCCCUCUACGUAUAGUUCUGCAUAUGGUCUAAAUCAGCGGCCCCUGAAGCAGCUAGCAAAACAGCUUCAGCAGCAAUGAAAGGAGAAACGCUUAUAGCAGAAGGUAAGCAGAAAGCAAAGGUAAAUCUCCAAGCCUGCCACGCGAGAGAUAGCUUUCGUGUGUUACUAGGAAGUCUUGGAUGAUAAAUACAGCAAUACUUCACUUAUGCAGAAUCCUGCAAAAAAAGAACUUCCUAAAAUAAAGCUGUUUGCCACCUUAAUGGAAAGAAUUAGGGGAAUUGUUUUAUAUAACCACAGAAAAAAAUCUUGUCUGUAACCCCUCACGCACACUUCGACAGGGAAUUAAAAACAGCUGAAAACUCUUUGUUGCGUGUAGCGGUGUAAUGAAACAGAUUCUAAGCGUGUUUCCAAAUACAGAGAAAGCAACUUAACAUAUCUUUAUGUAUGCACCUACAUAUUAAGAAAUCAUGUAUCAUUAAAUUAUGUGUGUUCUGUA